GAGGAUAAGUGUAACGAUCCGCUCCCAGAGUAUUUUUAAAUUUGAAGGAAAUAAAUCGUGAGAGGUUUUUGUCUGCAGGGAGAGUAUUUUUCUAAGUGUGGAUACACUUGUAAUCGUGAAGAUUGGGUAUGAAGAUGUAUUUUAACUAAGUGUCAGAUCUUAAGUGAGCUCAUGGAAUAAAUUUGGAACUGGCGGAGCGAUGAUAAACUGAUCAUGGAACGAUCAGAACAUACAUGAAGCGAGAUCAAGACCAAUUAAGGAAUGUUCGGCUGUUGGGCAAUGCGGGUUCCAAGUAAGGAAAGUUUGACUAGCCAUCAUUGCGGGAUAAUACAAAAGGAAGGUCGGAUCUGCGGGAGUCAGCUAAGGAAAAGAAUCAAAGAUAUCAAGUCAAGCCAUUGAUGGUGAUCUUUGACCAAGCCAAAUAAGGAAACUGGCAUUAAGUGUCCGGCUUGGUGAGAAAGCUUGAGAAAUCCUAUAAAAGGACUCCUUGAACUCUCAUUUCUAGGAUAUAACCAAGAAAAACAUAUUUAGAGAGAAAUCAGAGCAAGAACGAGUUGGUAGAAAGAGAAAUUUGAGAAGAGGGAUCAAACGAGGAGGAGCUAAGGAGUUCUUCGUCAGAAACGCUAGGAAGUUCAGAGUCUUCGAAUCCUAGAGAUUCAGCUAAGGUGAGGACGUGAUUCGUGAUAGUCCAAUAAGAACUAUUUGUCCUGUUUUGAUUCGAUAUGAUUGUGUUUAUGCUUGGAUAGAAAUUGUUUAUGGAAAAUUCGUUAAUCGUGUUCAUAGGGAAAUGUAUGAUAGAAAUUGUUUAUGGAAAGUUUAUUCAUCGUGUUCUUAAGAAAUGUAUGAUAGGAAUUGUUUAAGGAAAGUUUGUUUAUCGUGUUCUUGAGAAAUGCAUGCUAUUGAUUUGCGGGAUGGAUUAUUGAGUUAUGUUAGGAUGUUUAUGUGAGAAAUGAAUGUUUGAUCUUGAGAACCUAGGUCAGGAAGUUAUAAUGCGUUUAAGGAAAGAAUAAAUGAAUUGAGUUAAUGUAAGGAAAAUGUUAAGGAAAAAAGGUCAAGGAAAAAGGAUAAAGGAAAUGUAAUGGACCGACGGGUCACAGGUUGGCUACGGCCGCAGGUUAGGCUUCGGCCGCAUGUUUGGCUUCGGCCGCAGGAUUAUGGGCCUUCGGGUCGAAAGGUUAAGAAAUGUUAAGAAUUGAAAAGGAAUUAAUUAGUUACGUAAGGGAAUGAUAGAACCAGAUGCUAGAGGGUUAAUUUGAUUUAGUAUUGCUUAUUAGGCUAUAGUGGGCGGUAUUGAGUGUCCUCACUGAGUACUUUUGUAUGCUCAUGCCUCCUUUUGUGAUGCAGGUGACGAGUAGUUGAUUGGACCGGAGCGCGGGACAAUGAAGACCAUCGGGGCGAGUUUUAUUUUUUUAUAAACUUGGGAUUUCUAUUGGGUGUUUUAUGAAUCAUAUACUAUUACUCUAUAUUAUUUUCUCGGAUUUAUUAAUAAAAUUGGAGUUUUGUUUGAGUUUAUUAUUGAAAAAUUUCAUGAAUUUUUACUUAGAAUUUUUCAAGGCUUUUUCAAGAUUUAUGGGUCGGGGUGUUUCAAUUGGUAUCAGAGCGGGGUUGGCUAGCCAGUUCUGUCCUGGUUGGCUGUUUUUUUCGAAAAUGGGAUUUGUGGGUAAGGGUGGAAAGGAACCGAUGGUCUAUGUCUCGCGCGAAGGAUGUGUGGUAUGAUUUUACAAAGAUAUUUCUAGUUAUGUGUUUAUGAUUGGACUGCUUAGUAAAUGGCUAAGCAAAAUUCUGUUAAAGAGUUUGCAGGAAGUUAGUGAAAACUAACUUAAGUCUAAUGAAAGAUACAGAGUGUCGACUGUCGAAUUUUUCAAUGGGUAGGCAAGGAAAGCAUCAGGUUGGUUCAGUCAACAAAAGUAAUAUGCUUGAAGUCGUGUGUGUUGGAGCAAGAUAUGUCAACGUUAGGGAAUGAGUAGAUAUGAUGAUAAAAUGUACGAAGCAAUAGUCUGCAUGGAUUGAUGGUUAUUGACUGGGCUUGUAGCAUCCCCAUCCUACAGUCUGAGCUGGAUCAGUCCAAGGCUGAGUGUUAGUUUGACUGAUCAGUCGAACCUGACACGUAAAACAAUAUUGUGGGUCCAGACAUAGCAGCUGAGCUUGUCGGACAGAGCUGAUCGGAUUCAGACAAAGCAGCCGGACUUUUCUUUCGAGAAAAGUUAGUUUAUGUAUGACUUACUGGUAUACGUUAUGGUGGGAAUGGAUACCGAGCUGAACAUGUACUGACAAGGUAAGUAAAACGGCGGGAACAGUUAUCUGACGGUUACCGAGCGGUUACUAAGCAGUUACCGAAGCAGAUACAAGACGGUUCUGUGUGGUUACUGAACUACUUAACUGACUGGGACGGUUUAUGGGACUGGAACUGUCAAGUAGUUAUGGAACGGUUACCUAACCGCCUGAUCGAGAAAGAAACUGUUCGGGGAGUUAAUAAGAACUAUCAAGGAUAGUUACUGAUUUGGGAUUGGGCGCGGGAGCGGUUAUGGGAAAGGAAAACCGCCAACUCCCAUUUUUAGUGGGAUUCCCGCGGAUCAGAAAGGGGGAGGCGAUACUGGACAGAUACAGAGAAAACCGAGAGAGAAAGGGAGAAACGGACGGAGAGGGACUGAGAUCAGCAAGGAGGACUGAUCGGAUCCUUUCUCCGACUACCCUAGAGUUCAGCGGUGGUCUUACUGAUCGUCUAAGAUGUGUCGGGUUCUGGUUCGAAGAUACGAAGCAGGUGGUUAAUAGGAAGAACCGAUCCGUCUUUGGCCAUGGCAGCUGAAGCAAGCACGAACCAUGGAUAAGGAUGUACCGGCUUAAUCUGCGCAUGGUGGAACCAUGUACUGUUGGGUCGCAAAGUAUACUUGAUGAUGUUGAUGCAUACCGCGGGUCUGAUGAGGGAUCAUGAGUCUUGUCUAAAGGCCUAUGGUCUUAGACGAGACUGGUAUCAGCAGUACGACAGAGGAACAAAGAUGGAGUGCGAUUAGAACUGUACUUCGGUACUGUCUGUUCAAUCCGAAGGAAGGAUCGGUCAAAAUUAUGGUGGACCGGAGAGUUGACUGGAACUGAGCGAACGAUCAAGAAGAAUCGACGGAUAAUAAGCAAAUGGAUCCGAUGGUAAUCGGGUUUUUGUUUGAAUACACUAGCUGGACGCAAGGACUUAGUCGAUCCAAUUCUUAGUAGUGUGGUGAUGAAAGCCAAACUUUGUUCGACUAUAGAAGCCGCAUUCCUUGUGUGCCAGGAAGUUGUCGGUCGUAGAAAAAUGGGUUCGAGGAAGAGAUCAGAUUUGGUCGGGCUUCAUACAUGGAGAUUUUCAAGCCGCAUGUUAUUUAUCAAGAUGUUCCAUUGAUGGUGGAGAUUGCAAAUAACUUUAAUGGUUUGAUCGUGCUACUAGAUAAAUGGUUCAAAGAAGCUCUUGGGAUGGACGUGUUGGAUCAAUGUCAAGUUAACUUGAUUGAAAAGAUAUUAGGGUAGCAUAUCAGAAAGAAGGAAAGAUGGUAGCUCAGAAAAAUGAAGAAGCAAUUCGAAAUUUCAAUAGUAUCUGCGGUAAGAACCUAUCAGAUGAUCGAGAAUAAGUAUGAUUUAUUCUUAGGACCAUCUCGGAUGCAGAAGUUGACUAAAGAAUGGUAAUGGUAGAAUGUCUAUGGAAGCAAUGUCUCAAAGAAGUUAAACAAGUAGAGCUAGAAGGAAAAAAAAAUGAUAUAGGUUCAUGAGCGCAAUGCCCGAUGAAAGUGUUGGUCGAGUCAAGGAAAGGGUACGACCACUGCAAUUGGUCGAUGACAAAGAAUCCAGCAAGAUCAUAAACCUUGUUGGAUUAGUGGGUAAGAAUCGCCAAUAGUAAGAGAUCUGCAAGUUGGUUCAACCACUCAAGGGUUUGACGGUAAAAGAUGUGACGUAUGGUGGACGGCAUACUACAAGGAAAGUUUCGUGGUCCACGGAAAGUGCAAAUGGGUAGGUUAAUAUUAGUACAAUCCAGCUACGAGUGUUUUGGAUGGAUACAUCUAUGAUUGGAUUUAGUUGUUUUAUGAAUGUGCCAUAGCGAAUUCUUCUCGACGAUUGUGGAACAAAAUGAUUGCAGUCAGUGCUGAAAAUGUUGUGAAUCAAGGGUGAUUCAGAUAAUUGGACUGCAUAGAGUGAUAAAUCAGGUGAUGAAGUUGAUUGACAAGCGACUAAUAUCCGCCCAGAGAAUAUGUGUCAGCCCUGUAUUUUGGGAUCCAUGAUGCAACCUAGAAGAAGCAUUUGUCGUCAGCAUAUUCGAUUGCAUUAUUAUAAAAGUGUUCCAGUCAGACAACUAGUGCUGGACCAAAGUUAAAUGGAGGAAACAUAAAGAUUAGAUCCAAUAAGCGGUUAGUGAGCGUGGAAGCAAAAUACAUGCAGCGAGUCCGGAGUUGUUCAGUUUCUGUUUAUUUGGCAGUUGGUCGAGACGCAAUUCGGGGAUGAAAUUAUUUUAAGUGGGGGAGAGUUGUAACGACCCGCUCCCGGAGUAUUUUUAAAUUUGAAGGAAAUAAAUCGUGAGAGGUUUUUGUCUACAAUGAAAGUAUUUUUCUAAGUGUGGAUACACUUGUAAUCGUGAAGAUUGGGUAUGAAGAUGUAUUUUAACUAAGUGUCAGAUUUUAAGUGAGCUCAUGGAAUAAAUUUGGAACUGGCGGAGCGAUUAUAAACUGAUCAUGGAACGAUCAGAACAUACAUGAAUCAAGAUGAAGACCAAUUAAGGAAUGUUCGGCUGUUGGGCAAUGCGGGUUCCAAGUAAGGAAAGUUUGACUAGCCAUCAUUGCGGGAUAAUACAAAAGGAAGGUCGGAUCUGCGGGAGUCAGCUAAGGAAAGAAUCAAAGAUAUCAAGUCAAGCCAUUGAUAGUGAUCUUUGACCAAGCCAAAUAAGGAAACUGGCAUUAAGUGCCCGGCUUGGUGAGAAAGCUUGAGAAAUCCUAUAAAAGGACUCCUUGAACUCUCAUUUCUAGGACACAACCAAGAAAAACAUAUUUAGAGAGAAAUCAGAGCAAGAACGAGUUGAUAGAGAGAGAAUUUUGAGAAGAG
rnacentral:lncRNA from 1 species